rnacentral:rRNA from 1 species
AGUCGACGGAAGUCGUUGUAAUGAAAUGGAAAUGGACAGAGAACUUGUUCGAAGAAAGUUGAAGUAGACUUACAACAAUGGCUUUAGUGGCGGACUGGUGAGUAACGCGUAAGGAACCUGCCUUUUAGAGGGGAAUAACAGUGAGAAAUCAUUGCUAAUACCGCAUAUGCCGAGAGAAUCACAUGGUACAAUCGGGAAAGGAGCAAUCCGCUAAAAGAUGGCCUUGCGUCUGAUUAGAUAGUUGGUGGGGUAACGGCCUACCAAGUCGACGAUCAGUAGCCGGACUGAGAGGUUGAACGGCCACAUUGGGACUGAGAUACGGCCCAGACUCCUACGGGAGGCAGCAGUCGGGAAUAUUGCGCAAUGGAGGAAACUCUGACGCAGUGACGCCGCGUAUAGGAAGAAGGUUUUCGGAUUGUAAACUAUUGUCGUUAGGGAAGAGAAAGGACAGUACCUAAGGAGGAAGCUCCGGCUAACUACGUGCCAGCAGCCGCGGUAAUACGUAGGGAGCGAGCGUUAUCCGGAAUUAUUGGGUGUAAAGGGUGCGUAGACGGGAAGAUAAGUUAGUUGUGAAAUCCCUCGGCUUAACUGAGGAACUGCAACUAAAACUGUUUUUCUUGAGUGCAGGAGAGGUAAGU